AGGGUGUAAAACGCUGCAGACUUGGUGUUGGAAGCCCUUUGGGGGCAUUCAGUGCCGGAGAGAAGUUGUUAAGUCUGCUACUUGGGGAGUACGUCCGCAAAGAUGAAACUUAAAGGAAUUGGCGGGGGAGCACCGCAACGGGAGGAGCGUGCGGUUUAAUUGGAUUCAACACCGUAAAACUCACCAGGGAAGACUGUUACAUGAAGGCCGAGAUGAAGACUCUGCUAGAUUUUUCAGAGAGGAGGUGCAUGGCGUCAGUGACU
rnacentral:rRNA from 1 species